rnacentral:rRNA from 1 species
UACGUAGGGUGCAAGCGUUAAUCGGAAUUACUGGGCGUAAAGCGUGCGCAGGCGGUUAUGUAAGACAGAUGUGAAAUGCCCGGGCUUAACCUGGGAACUGCAUUUGUGACUGCAUGGCUAGAGUUUGGCAGAGGGGGGUAGAAUUCCACGUGUAGCAGUGAAAUGCGUAGAGAUGUGGAGGAACACCGGUGGCGAAGGCGGCCUGCUGGGCAGUAGCUGACACUGAGGCGCGACAGCGUGGGGAGCAAACAGG